GUGCUCACUUUAGCAGCACAUAUACUAAAAUUGGAACACUACAGAGAAGAUUAGCUUGUCCCCUGUGCAAUGAUGAUACAUAAAUUCAUGAAGUGUUCCAUACUUUU